GUGUGUCUGUGUGUCAGGGUGUGUGUAUUUGUGUUUGCAUGUGCCAGUGUGUAUCUGUGUGUGUGUGUGUGUAUCUGACACACAGAUACACACACACUGGCACACAGAUACACACACCUUGACACACAGCAUGUA